rnacentral:RNase_P_RNA from 1 species
UAGGAAAGUUCAAGGUAUUAAUUAAUUAAUUUUAAUAGUUAUUAAUUUCAAUCUAAAUAAAGUUUUAGUGCAAAAUACGAAGUAAUUUGGUGGAAUUCUUAGAGAAAAUAUUAAAUUAAAUUAAAUAUAAAAAUCUAACACUAAAGUUUGUUUCAAUUUUAUUUUUACACGUAAUUUAAAUUUGAAAGGCAGAAAACCCUUUAUUUAACCUGGUAUAAACAUUAAUAUAAUUAAUAUAUUAUAUAUAAUAUAUUAGAUCAAUCAGAAAAAUUUACAUUAACAAAAACUGUCUUAU